UACGUAGGGUGCGAGCGUUAAUCGGAAUUACUGGGCGUAAAGCGUGCGCAGGCGGUUUUGUAAGUCAGAUGUGAAAUCCCCGGGCUCAACCUGGGAACUGCGUUUGAAACUACAAGGCUAGAGUGUAGCAGAGGGGGGUGGAAUUCCAUGUGUAGCAGUGAAAUGCGUAGAGAUGUGGAGGAACACCGAUGGCGAAGGCAGCCUCCUGGGCCAACACUGACGCUCAUGCACGAAAGCGUGGGGAGCAAACAGG
rnacentral:rRNA from 1 species